ensembl:snoRNA U3 Small nucleolar RNA U3
AAGACUAUACUUUCAGGGAUCAUUUCUACAGUUCAUUACUAAAGAAGUUUAUCUAAACAUGCAGAGCACAUGACACCACAAGGAGGAGGCACAACAUUCUCCCUUGAGCCUGAAGCUGGCUCUUGGUGUUGCAUGACUACAACAGCCAUUUGUCACUGAUAACUGUUCUCUUCCAGGAGAAUAAGAAGGAGAAGAUGCAGUUUGGGUGGU